rnacentral:rRNA from 1 species
GAUGAACGCUAGCUACAGGCUUAACACAUGCAAGUCGAGGGGCAGCGCAGUGUAGCAAUACAUGGGCGGCGACCGGCGCACGGGUGCGUAACGCAUAUCCAACCUUCCCGUUACUCUUGGAUAGCCUUCCGAAAGGGAGAUUAAUACAAGAUGGUAUUCAAAUUCCGCAUGUUAUUUGAAUUAAAGAUUUAUCGGUAACGGAUGGGGAUGCGUGACAUUAGAUAGUAGGCGGGGUAACGGCCCACCUAGUCUACGAUGUCUAGGGGUUCUGCGAGUAACGUCCCCCACACUGGAACUUAGACAUGGUCCAGACUCCUACGGGAGGCAGCAGUAAGAAAUAUUGGUCAAUGGUCGGAAGACUGAACCAGCCAAGUAGCGUGAAGGAUGAAGGUUCUAUGGAUUGUAAACUUCUUUUAUACGGGAAUAAAACCUCCCACGUGUGGGAGCUUGUAUGUACCGUAUGAAUAAGCAUCGGCUAACUCCGUGCCAUCCGCCGCCGUAACAC